AUGAACACGUGUCCCAUCGUUUGCGACUCUGAUCUCUUCUUCCCCGACUUCGCUCUUCUUCAAUUUCUCCCGAUUCGCAGCGAGAGAGAGAGAUGGUGCCGCCGGCAACGGAGCGGUGGUGCUGGGCAUUGAUUAGGGUUCAUCUUUUCCCAUCUUUUUUUCCAAUUCAGAUUUUGAUUUUAAUCUCAAGAUGCAAACGCAUCAGAUAUAAAGAGAUCAUGCGAUUAUUGAUUCUUCUUUCUUAGUCAAAAUCGCCAUUGCUUACGAGAUAUUGAAAGGACUGGUGUUCGAUCACGCUGCUCAGUUCUUCAUUGCAGAUGAUUCUCGUCUUAUCCAGUACGUCGAUGGAUGGUUAGAGAAAGGACUUGUUCGAGAGUGGAAAGGUGUUGUGGGAGAGCUUGAAGUUGGAGGCAAUUUCUCGCAGUUUCCUCCUUCAUGGCCUCCAAGAUACAUUGCUGUUCACGGCAUGCGAUCUCUCGCUGAUUCAUUGCUAUUAGAGAGUCGAUUGUCAUUGCUCACAAUGGUAAGAACGGAACAUCUCGUGGUCAGUUUGAUGUCAUUAUCAUUGCUCACAAUGGUAAAUGUGCGAACCGUUUGCUGUCUGCAUCAGGCUUGCCCCUCGUUGCUAAACAGAUGAAGAAUUUUGAUCUUAGCUCCAUAUGGGCGCUACUAGCAGCGUUCGAUGAUCCUCUUCCUACAGUGAACUUCGAAGGAGCGUUUGUGAAAGGAGUUGAAUCAUUGUCUUGGAUGGGAAACAACUCCGCAAAGCUUGGUAACUCUAGAACACCACAAACUAUUUCUGAGUUCUUUUGCUUCUGUAAUACUAGUAUCUACGUUGCAAUAUAUUUUGUUAUUUGUUUUUCGGCUGGCUUGUAACAUGCAAGGCUUUAGUAGUUUGGGAUGAACAAAGCAAAGAAUAUACUAGUUGUUCCUGGAAGUUCAUUGGCAUUGCAAUUUUUUUGUUUAUCUCAUCAAAAGCUUCUUUGGAGCAACUCAGACUUGUCAUAAACCUUCCAAGUUCCACCAUGAUUUGGUUUCAUCUCUAUACUAGUCAUUUGGUUGAUGUUUGAGUUGUCAUAAGCAAAGACUCUAGCUUUUUGGCAUUUUUUUUUUUU